CAUGUUCAGGCUCCUCUGUAACAGAAUAAAGAAGAGGAAGACUAUCUGUGAUGAAGAAAGUGCAAUAGAUAAAUCACAGACUACGCCUAAACCAUCCAAACCUGAAACUAUUACAAGGAAUGAAGACAAAAAGCAGAAAAAGAAGAAGGAUACUAUAAAUAAAACUGUAGGGGAGGCCAUUGAAAUGCCAUCUGUACAACAAGAAACAAAUGAGCAAGUACAAACACCUGCACUGCCUAAAGAG